rnacentral:rRNA from 1 species
GACGAACGCUGGCGGCGUGCUUAACACAUGCAAGUCGAACGGAAAGGCCCUGCUUUUGUGGGGUGCUCGAGUGGCGAACGGGUGAGUAACACGUGAGUAACCUGCCCUUGACUUUGGGAUAACUUCAGGAAACUGGGGCUAAAACCGGAUAGGAGCUCCUGCUGCAUGGUGGGGGUUGGAAAGUUUCGGCGGUUGGGGAUGGACUCGCGGCUUAUCAGCUUGUUGGUGGGGUAGUGGCUUACCAAGGCUUUGACGGGUAGCCGGCCUGAGAGGGUGACCGGCCGCAUUGGGACUGAGAUACGGCCCAGACUCCUACGGGAGGCAGCAGUGGGGAAUAUUGCACAAUGGGCGGAAGCCUGAUGCAGCAACGCCGCGUGCGGGAUGACGGCCUUCGGGUUGUAAACCGCUUUCGCCUGUGACGAAGCGUGAGUGACGGUAAUGGGUAAAGAAGCACCGGCUAACUACGUG